rnacentral:rRNA from 1 species
GGUCAAGUUACUAAGAGCAUAGGGAGAAUGCCUUGGCACUGGGAGCCGACGAAGGACGCGACAAGCUGCGAAAAGCUGCGAUUAGGUGCAAAUAACCGUUGAGUCGCAGGUAUCCGAAUGGGGAAACCUAGCAGAGAGAAGCUCUGUUACCCGCAUAUGAAUAAAAUAGUAUGCGAGGAGGGAACUCGGGGAACUGAAACAUCUAAGUACCCGAAGGAAGAGAAAGAAAACUCGAUUUUCCAAGUAGCGGCGAGCGAAAGGGAAAGAGCCUAAACCGUAUUUAUACGGGGUAAUGGGACAUGUAAAGGAGAUCUGGAAAGAAGCCGAAUGGCCUGGGAAGGCCGACCAUAGAGAGUAAGAGUCUCGUAGGCGAAAUGGACAGAUACAGGCAUGUUACCGGAGUACCACGGGACACGUGAAACCCUGUGGGAAGUUGGGGGGACCACCCCCCAAGGCUAAAUACUACCCAGUGACCGAUAGAGAAUAGUACCGUGAGGGAAAGGUGAAAAGAACCCCGGGAGGGGAGUGAAAUAGAACCUGAAACCCUAUGCUUACAAGCAGUGGGAGCGCAAGUGACCGCGUGCUUUUUGUAGAACGGACCAGCGAGUUACGAUAUGUAGCAAGGUUAAUCACUUCAGGUGAGGAGCCGCAGGGAAACCGAGUCUUAAUAGGGCGUAUAGUUGCAUGUUGUAGACCCGAAACCGUGUGAUCUACCCAUGUCCAGGGUGAAGCGUGAGUAAAAUCUCGUGGAGGCCCGAACCGGUGUCUGUUGAAAAAGGCUCGGAUGAGGUGUGGGUAGGGGAGAAAUUCCAAUCGAACACGGAGAUAGCUGGUUCUCCCCGAAAUAGCUUUAGGGCUAGCGUCAAGGGAUGAAUAGUGGAGGUAGAGCACUGAAUUGGCUAGGGGGCGUAUAGCUUACCGAACCAUAUCAAACUCCGAAUGCCAUAUAUUUUACCUUGGCAGUCAGACAGUGUGAGAUAAGUUUCAUUGUCGAAAGGGAAACAGCCCAGACCAUCAGCUAAGGUCCCAAAGUACAGGUUAAGUGGGAAAGGAUGUGCAAUUGCUAAGACAACUAGGAUGUUGGCUUAGAAGCAGCCACUCAUUCAAAGAGUGCGUAAUAGCUCACUAGUCGAGUGAUUGUGCGCCGAAGAUUACCGGGGCUAAAACCUGUCACCGAAGCUAUGGCUUGCGUCGUAGAUCUGCAGGGGUAGGGGAGCAUUGUGUACGAGGCGAAGCUGAGCUGGAAGGCGAGGUGGAUUCUACACAAGAGAGAAUGCUGGUAUGAGUAGCGAAAGAAAGGUGAGAAUCCUUUCCAUCGAAAAUCCAAGGUUUCCUGAGGAAGGUUCGUCCGCUCAGGGUAAGUCGGGACCUAAGCCGAGGCCGAAGGGCGUAGGCGAUGGACAACCGGUUGAAAUUCCGGUACCGCCUUUGACUGUUUGAGAGAAGGAGUGACACAGGAGGAUAAGCUGACCCGUCGAAUGGAAGAGACGGGCUAAAUAACGAGUGUGGACCUUAGGCAAAUCCGGGUCCUGGGAAGCAUGAGUUAUGAUGGGGACCGAAAAACAAGUAGGGAAGCAGCUGAUUUCACACUGUCGAGAAAAGCUUCUAUUGAGGAAGAAGGCGCCCGUACCGCAAACCGACACAGGUAGAUGAGGAGAGAAUCCUAAGAUGAGCGGGAGAAGUGUUGUUAAGGAACUCGGCAAAAUAACCCCGUAACUUCGGGAGAAGGGGAGCCUAAUCCGAUUGUUGUAAAAUGAUACGGAAAGGCUGCAGAGAAAAGGCCCAAGCGACUGUUUAGCAAAAACACAGGUCUCUGCUAAAUCGAAAGAUGAAGUAUAGGGGCUGACGCCUGCCCGGUGCUGGAAGGUCAAGGGGAAUGCUUAGCUUCGGCGAAGGCAUGAACUUAAGCCCCAGUAAACGGCGGCCGUAACUAUAACGGUCCUAAGGUAGCGAAAUUCCUUGUCAGGUAAGUUCUGACCCGCACGAAAGGCGUAACGAUUUGGGCACUGUCUCAACAACACACCCGGUGAAAUUGUAGUACUCGUGAAGAUGCGAGUUACCCGCGACAGGACGGAAAGACCCCGUAGAGCUUUACUGUAGCUUGGCAUUGGAUUUUGGUAGUGUAUGUACAGGAUAGGUGGGAGGCAGAGAGAAUAGGACGCUAGUCUUGUUGGAGCCGCUGUUGGGAUACCACUCUUAUACUACUGGAAUUCUAACCAGUAGCCGUGAUCCGGCUAUGGGACAUUGCCAGGUGGGCAGUUUGACUGGGGCGGUCGCCUCCGAAAGAGUAACGGAGGCGCCCAAAGUUUACCUCAGAAUGGUUGGAAAUCAUUCGUAGAGUGCAAAGGCAAAAGGUAGACUGACUGCGAGAGAGACAUCUCGAGCAGGGACGAAAGUCGGGCUUAGUGAUCCGGUGGUACCGAGUGGAAGGGCCAUCGCUCAACGGAUAAAAGCUACCUCGGGGAUAACAGGCUUAUCUCCCCCAAGAGUCCACAUCGACGGGGAGGUUUGGCACCUCGAUGUCGGCUCGUCUCAUCCUGGGGCUGUAGUAGGUCCCAAGGGUUGGGCUGUUCGCCCAUUAAAGAGGCACGCGAGCUGGGUUCAGAACGUCGUGAGACAGUUCGGUCCCUAUCCGUCGUGGGCGCAAGAUAUUUGAGAGGAGCUGUUCCUAGUACGAGAGGACCGGAAUGGACAGACCUCUGGUGCACCAGUUGUCCUGCCAAGGGCACAGCUGGGUAGCUAAGUCUGGACGGGAUAAGCGCUGAAGGCAUCUAAGCGCGAAGCCCCCCUCAAGAUGAGAUAUCUCAUCCGCAAGGAGUAAGGUCCCCAGUAGACGACUGGGUUGAUAGGCCAGAGGUGUACGUGUAGAAAUACAUUCAGCUGACUGGUACUAAUAGACCGAGGACUUGACCAA